GUGCCAAAGGACUACACACUCAGCUUAUGGAUUAGACCACAAUCACUGAACAGAAUUAAAAAGCCUUUUAGAGUUCUCCACUGCCCAACUUGACUACUGCAGCAAGUCUGGACUUCCAGAUCCCCAGGGACUGCAGCCAUUCCUCCUUCAAGAUGGGAAAAAUACAGAAAAAAUGAGAAGAAAGAAGAGUCAACCCAAGCCAUUUCAAACACUGGUUACAUAAAGAAAAGUGUCCUAACAAGGACAGUUGCUCCAAAGCUGGAAUGGGCUGCCUUGAGAAGAAGAGGAUUCUGGCUUACUGGAAGUCUCCAAGCAGAGGGUGGAGAACCAUGGGCAGAUGAGAGGUGGGCAGCCAUGGGGCCUCAACACAUCCUAAGGAGGUCCAGGAAGAUCCAGAGACACCCUGAGAGUUCAGUCAAAAUCCAGGGAGACUCAGAAGCUUGGAGGAGCCUCAGAGAGACCUGUGGAGAGGCAGAUGGCCCAGAGCGAUGUUGGCAGUGCCAGGAACUGCGGGAAAUGAAGAGAAACCCAAAGACAGUCUGUUGUACCCAGAGAGACCCAGGAAGCUCUUGGGAGACUUAGGGGGGCCCAGGGAGUCUCCUGCCCAGCGGGUCUGCUAGCUCCUUACAGGUUGGGGAUUCUGAACCUUGCCAGCUUGUUGCAACUGGAAUUGAAGAAACCCUCCUACUAUGCCUGAGAUGCCAACACUUCUACUGAGGUGCUGAAGGUCUACCCAAUCUGGGCCUCAGCCUUGCUUCUCUUCUCCCACCCCUCCACCUCUCCUGCCCAGCACCAUCAACCUGGGAUCACUGUUGCCUUGGAUCAGCAUAGUCUGCCCAGAGACCAGUGACAUCAUCCCCUUCCUCCAGGACUCAGGAGAGCAGGGACAUCACACUCCUUUCUGACACUCACUGAUCAGUGACAUCACUCCUUCCCCGUGGAAAUCAGUCUGCCUGUUCAGAUGUCUUGAGAGGACCCAGGGGCUGCUGACUUAUCCAUUUGGGAAGAAUGGGAGUGAGCCAGGCCAAGCACUCUGAAGCUUCAGUUCUGAGCCCAUGUUAAAAAUGGCCCAGUUGAAUAAAGGAUGCCCUGGGGCAAGCUACAGACUCCCCUCUGUUUCAGGCUGAGGCAUCUGGGCCUACCAGCCUGCUACUUCUUUAAGGGCCAACAUGUGCUGGACCCAGCCUUGGCCUCGGGAAUCCAGGUCCCCUACACCCGCCCCUCAAAUAACAGGAAUAAUGAAGCAGAGAUGUACUUUUUUAAAUUAAAUUUUAUUUUUCAAUCAGUAAAAAUCUAC